GACGAACGCUGGCGGCGCGCCUAACACAUGCAAGUCGAACGAGCGAGCGAGAGCUUGCUUUCUCAAGCGAGUGGCGAACGGGUGAGUAACGCGUGAGGAACCUGCCUCAAAGAGGGGGACAACAGUUGGAAACGACUGCUAAUACCGCAUAAGCCCACAGGUCGGCAUCGACCAGAGGGAAAAGGAGCAAUCCGCUUUGAGAUGGCCUCGCGUCCGAUUAGCUAGUUGGUGAGGUAACGGCCCACCAAGGCAACGAUCGGUAGCCGGACUGAGAGGUUGAACGGCCACAUUGGGACUGAGACACAGCCCAGACUCCUACGGGAGGCAGCAGUGGGGAAUAUUGCACAAUGGGGGAAACCCUGAUGCAGCGACGCCGCGUGGAGGAAGAAGGUCUUCGGAUUGUAAACUCCUGUUGUUGAGGAAGAUAAUGACGGUACUCAACAAGGAAGUGACGGCUAACUACGUG
rnacentral:rRNA from 1 species